GACGAACGCUGGCGGCGUGCUUAACACAUGCAAGUCGAACGGAGUGGCGAACGGGUGAGUAACACGUGGGUGAUCUGCCUUGCACUUCGGGAUAAGCUUGGGAAACUGGGUCUAAUACCGGAUAGUGCAAGAUGAGCUCGCGGCCUAUCAGCUUGUUGGUGGGGUAAUGGCCUACCAAGGCGUCGACGGGUAGCCGGCCGGGGAGGGUGUACGGCCGCAUUGGGACUGAGAUAGAGCCCAGACUGCUACGGGAGGAAGGAGGUGGGCAUAGUGCACGAUGGGCGGAAGCCUGAUGCAGCGGCGCCGGGGGGGGGAUGAAGGGCUUCGGGUUGUAAACUCCUUUCGACAGGGACGCGGUACCAUUAUAAGAAGCACCGGCUAAAUACGGGCCAGCAGCCGCGGUAAUAC
rnacentral:rRNA from 1 species